CCUACGGGUGGCAGCAGUGGGGAAUAUUGCACAAUGGGGGAAACCCUGAUGCAGCGACGCCGCGUGAGUGAAGAAGUAUCUCGGUACGUAAAGCUCUAUCAGCAGGGAAGAAAAUGACGGUACCUGACUAAGAAGCCCCGGCUAACUACGUGCCAGCAGCCGCGGUAAUACGUAGGGGGCAAGCUUUAUCCGGAGUUACUGGGUGGAAAGGGGGCGUAGACGGCAGCACAAGUCUGGAGUGAAAUCCCGGGGCUUAACCCCGGAACUGCUUUGGAAACUGGGCGGCUGGAGUGCAGGAGGGGUAAGCGGAAUUCCUAGUGUAGCGGUGAAAUGCGUAGAUAUCAGGAGGAACACCGGUGGCGAAGGCGGCUUACUGGACUGUAACUGACGUUGAGGCUCGAAAGCGUGGGGAGCAAACAGGAUUAGAUACCCUGGUAGUC
rnacentral:rRNA from 1 species